rnacentral:rRNA from 2 species
CGCGAGUGGUCGGGGUGUUUACUGGGCUUAAAGCGCCCGUAGCCGGCCCGGUAAGUCGCUCCUGAAAUCCCCGGGCUCAACCCGGGGGCGGGGGGCGAUACUGCCGGGCUAGGGGGCGGGAGAGGCCGCCGGUACUCCGGGGGUAGGGGCGAAAUCCGUUAAUCCCCGGAGGACCACCAGUGGCGAAAGCGGGCGGCCAGAACGCGCCCGACGGUGAGGGGCGAAAGCCGGGGGAGCAAAGGGGAUUAGAUACCCCUGUAGUCCCGGCCGUAAACGAUGCGGGCUAGCUGUCGGUCGGGCUUAGGGCCCGGCCGGUGGCGAAGGGAAACCGUUAAGCCCGCC